CUGUUAAACAGUUCUAAUGGGUUUUC
rnacentral:piRNA from 1 species